GCAGCCAGGCCGCCCGGGAACUUUUUUCCUCGCGCUCUCGCUCUCCUUCUCCCCCCGCGCGUCGCCCGCCCGCCCGUCCGCUCUUCCUGUGCGGAGGGGAUCGCAUUUCCCCGCGGCACCCGCGGACACCAGGCAGGCCCGGCCGGGUGCGCGGCCAGGGCCAGGUCCCCACGCCGCCCGCUCCCCGCGCCCCCGGGCGCCGCCCCCGCCCGCGGCUGGGCUCCGAGAGACUAGUGGGAGAGCGAGUGCGGCGAAGGCGAGAGGCGAGCCGAGCAGGCCGCCCAGCCCGCGGCCCCAACGCCGGCGCGAGGAGGGGGCGGUGCGGCCCACCCUCCUUCCUGCCUGGCCGCGGGCCGGCCGGGCCGCCGCGCCCCGACCCCCAUGGCCACCCAGGCCUCCGGGCCGCGAAGUCGCAGCGCCAGACCCAGGGCCCCCGAGUGAGCGCGGGCGUCGAGGAUCUCAUCUGGCCACCGCGUUCUGUAAGAGGCGAGAGGGAGAGCGUGCGCGAGAGGAGGAGAGAGACGGCGGGGGAAAGGGAGACGGCGAGACGCGCAGCGCCGGCGCCCGGGAGACCCAGGAGGAGCCCGCAGAUAACCAGCCCGAGUCAUGCAGUCUUUUCGAGAAAGGUGUGGUUUCCAUGGCAAACAACAGAACUACCAGCAGACCUCGCAGGAAACAUCACGCCUGGAGAAUUACAGGCAGCCGAGUCAGGCCGGGCUAAGCUGUGACCGGCAGCGGCUACUCGCCAAGGAAUAUUAUAACCCGCAGCCUUACCCAAGCUAUGAGGGUGGCGCUGGCACGCCCUCUGGCACAGCGGCUGCAGUGGCCGCCGACAAGUACCACCGAGGCAGCAAGGCCCUGCCCACGCAGCAGGCCCUGCAGGGGAGGCCGGCUUUCCCUGGCUAUGGCGUCCAGGACAGCAGCCCCUACCCGGGCCGCUAUGCUGGUGAGGAGAGCCUGCAGGCUUGGGGUGCCCCACAGCCACCACCCCCACAGCCGCAGCCCCUACCAGCGGGGGUGACAAAGUAUGAUGAGAACUUGAUGAAAAAGACAGCAGUGCCCUCCAGCAGGCAGUAUGCAGAGCAGGGCGCCCAGGUGCCCUUUCGGACUCACUCCCUGCACGUCCAGCAGCCACCGCCACCCCAGCAGCCCCUGGCAUACCCCAAGCUCCAAAGGCAGAAGCUGCAGAACGACAUUGCCUCCCCUCUGCCCUUCCCCCAGAGUACCCACUUUCCUCAGCAUUCCCAGUCCUUCCCUACCUCCUCCACUUACUCCUCCUCUGUCCAGGGCGGUGGGCAGGGUGCCCACUCCUAUAAGAGUUGCACGGCGCCGACUGCCCAGCCCCAUGACAGGUCACUGACCGCCAGCUCCAGCCUGGCCCCGGGGCAGCGGGUCCAGAAUCUUCACGCCUAUCAGUCAGGCCGCCUUAGCUAUGACCACCAGCAGCAGCAGCAGCAACAGCAGCAGCAGCAGCAGCAAGCCCUUCAGAGCCGGCACCAUGCCCAGGAAACCCUCCAUUACCAAAACCUUGCCAAGUAUCAGCACUACGGGCAGCAAGGCCAGGGCUACUGCCAGCCGGACGCAGCUGUCCGGACCCCAGAGCAGUACUACCAGACCUUCAGCCCCAGCUCCAGCCACUCACCCGCCCGCUCCGUGGGCCGCUCGCCUUCCUACAGCUCCACGCCGUCGCCACUGAUGCCAAACCUGGAGAACUUUCCCUACAGCCAGCAGCCGCUUAGCACUGGGGCCUUCCCUGCGGGGAUCACUGACCACAGCCACUUCAUGCCCCUGCUCAAUCCCUCCCCAACGGAUGCCACCAGCUCCGCAGACACCCAGGCUGGCAACUGCAAGCCCCUUCAGAAGGACAAGCUCCCCGAGAACCUGUUGUCGGAUCUCAGCCUGCAGAGCCUCACGGCGCUGACCUCGCAGGUGGAGAACAUCUCCAACACCGUCCAGCAGCUGCUACUCUCCAAGGCUGCCGUGCCGCAAAAGAAAGGCGUCAAGAAUCUCGUGUCCAGGACCCCGGAGCAGCACAAAAGCCAGCACUGCAGCCCCGAAGGCAGUGGCUACUCGGCCGAGCCCGCAGGCACACCGCUGUCAGAGCCACUGAGCAGCACGCCACAGUCCACGCAUGCAGAGCCACAGGAGGCCGACUACCUGAGCGGCUCCGAGGACCCACUGGAGCGCAGCUUUCUCUACUGCAACCAGGCCCGUGGCAGCCCUGCCAGGGUCAACAGCAACUCGAAGGCGAAGCCCGAAUCCGUGUCCACCUGUUCCGUGACCUCUCCUGAUGACAUGUCCACCAAAUCUGACGACUCUUUCCAGAGCCUGCACAGCAGUCUCCCACUCGACAGCUUCUCGAAGUUCGUGGCGGGUGAGCGGGACUGUCCGCGGCUGCUGCUCAGCGCCCUGGCACAGGAGGACCUGGCCUCCGAGAUCCUGGGGCUGCAGGAAGCCAUCGGUGAGAAGGCCGACAAAGCUUGGGCUGAAGCACCCGGCCUAGCCAAGGACAGCAGCAAGCCACCCUUCUCGCUGGAGAACCACAGCGCCUGCCUGGACCCUGUGGCCAAGAGUGCGUGGCCCCGGCCUGGGGAGCCAGAGGCCCUGCCUGACUCCUUGCAGCUGGACAAGGGCGGCAAUGCCAAGGACUUCAGCCCAGGGCUGUUUGAAGACCCUUCUGUGGCCUUCGCUACCCCUGACCCCAAAAAGACAACUGGUCCUCUCUCCUUUGGCACCAAGCCCACCCUUGGGGUUCCUGCUCCAGACCCUACCACAGCAGCUUUUGACUGUUUCCCGGACACGACCGCUGCCAGCUCAGCGGACAGUGCCAACCCCUUUGCCUGGCCAGAGGAAAACCUGGGGGAUGCUUGUCCCAGGUGGGGAUUGCACCCUGGCGAGCUCACCAAGGGCCUGGAGCAAGGUGGGAAGGCCUCAGAUGGCGUCAGCAAAGGGGAGACCCAUGAGGCUUCGGCCUGCCUGGGCUUCCAGGAGGAGGACCCCCCUGGGGAGAAGGUGGCCUCGUUGCCCGGGGACUUCAAGCAGGAGGAGGCGGGCGGGGUGAAGGAGGAGGCAGAUGGGCUGCUGCAGUGCCCCGAGGUGGCCAAGGCUGACCGGUGGCUGGAGGACAGCCGGCACUGCUGUUCUACCGCCGACUUUGGGGACCUCCCACUGCUGCCGCCCACCAGCAGGAAGGAGGACCUGGAAGCUGAGGAGGAGUACUCCUCCCUGUGUGAGCUCCUGGGCAGCCCAGAGCAGAGGCCCGGCAUGCAGGACCCGCUGUCACCCAAGGCCCCACUCAUCUGCACCAAGGAGGAGGUGGAGGAGGUGCUGGACUCCAAGGCUGGCUGGGGCUCUCCGUGCCACCUCUCAGGGGAGUCCGUCAUCCUGCUGGGCCCGACCGUGGGCACCGAGUCAAAGGUCCAGAGCUGGUUUGAGUCCUCUCUGUCCCACAUGAAGCCAGGUGAAGAGGGGCCCGAUGGGGAGCGAGCUCCAGGGGAUUCCACCACCUCGGACGCCUCUCUGGCCCAGAAGCCCAACAAGCCUGCUGUGCCCGAGGCACCCAUUGCGAAGAAAGAGCCUGUGCCACGGGGCAAAAGCUUACGGAGCCGUCGGGUGCACCGGGGGCUCCCCGAGGCCGAGGACUCCCCAUGCAGGGCACCAGCGCUGCCCAAAGACCUCUUGCUCCCUGAAUCCUGCACGGGGCCCCCACAGGGACAGAUGGAAGGGGCCGGAGCCCCAGGCCGGGGGGCCUCGGAAGGGCUCCCCAGGAUGUGUACCCGUUCUCUCACGGCCCUGAGUGAGCCCCGCACACCCGGGCCUCCAGGCCUGACCACCACCCCUGCACCCCCAGACAAACUGGGGGGCAAGCAGCGAGCCGCCUUUAAGUCGGGCAAGCGAGUGGGGAAGCCCUCACCCAAGGCCGCCUCCAGUCCCAGCAACCCAGCCGCCCUGCCUGUGGCCUCCGACAGCAGCCCAAUGGGCUCCAAGACCAAGGAGACGGACUCGCCCAGCACGCCUGGCAAGGACCAGCGCUCCAUGAUCCUUCGGUCGCGCACCAAAACCCAGGAGGUCUUCCACUCCAAGCGGCGGAGGCCCUCUGAGGGCCGGCUCCCCAACUGCCGUGCCACCAAGAAGCUCCUUGACAACAGCCACUUGCCCACCACAUUCAAGGUCUCCGGCAGCCCCCAGAAGGAGGGCAGGGUGAGCCAGCGGGCAAGGGUCCCCAAACCUGGUGCAGGCAGCAAGCUCUCUGACCGGCCCCUCCAUGCACUCAAAAGGAAGUCAGCCUUCAUGGCGCCGGUCCCCACCAAGAAGCGGAACCUGGUCUUGCGGAGCCGCAGUAGCAGCAGCAGCAAUGCCAGUGGCAAUGGGGGAGAUGGGAAGGAGGAGAGGCCUGAGGGUUCCCCCACCCUCUUCAAGAGGAUGUCUUCUCCCAAGAAAGCCAAGCCCACCAAGGGCAAUGGUGAGCCCGCCACAAAACCCCCACCCCCGGAGACCCCCGACGCCUGCCUCAAGCUUGCCUCUCGGGCGGCCUUCCAGGGGGCCAUGAAGACCAAGGUGCUGCCGCCCCGGAAGGGCCGGGGCCUGAAGCUGGAAGCCAUUGUGCAGAAGAUCACCUCGCCCAGCCUCAAGAAGUUCGUAUGUAAAGCGCCAGGGGUCUCUCCUGGUAAUCCUCUGAGCCCAUCCCUUCCCGAGAAAGACCGAGGGCUCAAGGGUGCUGGGGGCAGCCCAGUGGGGGUGGAAGAAGGCCUGGUAAAUGUGGGCACCGGGCAGAAGCUCCCAGCUUCUUCUGGGGCCGAUCUGUUAUGCAGAAAUCCAACCAACAGAUCCUUAAAAGGCAAACUCAUGAAUAGUAAGAAACUGUCUUCGACUGACUGUUUCAAAACUGAGGCCUUCACAUCCCCAGAGGCCCUGCAGCCCGGGGGGACUGCCCUGGCGCCUAAGAAGAGGAGCCGAAAAGGCCGGGCAGGGGCCCUUGGACUCUCCAAAGGCCCACUGGAGAAGCGGCCCUAUCUUGGCCCGACUCUGCUCCUGACUCCCCGAGACAGGGCCAGUGGCACACAAGGGGCCAGCGAGGACAACUCUGGUGGAGGAGGCAAGAAGCCAAAGAUGGAGGAGCUGGGCAUGGCCUCCCAGCCCCCCGAGGGCCGGCCCUGCCAGCCCCAGACAAGGGCACAGAAACAGCCAGGCCACACCAACUACAGCAGCUAUUCCAAGCGGAAGCGCCUCACCCGGGGCCGGGCCAAGAACACCACCUCUUCACCCUGUAAGGGGCGUGCCAAGCGACGACGGCAGCAGCAGGUGCUGCCCCUGGAUCCCGCAGAGCCUGAAAUCCGCCUCAAGUACAUUUCCUCUUGCAAGCGGCUGAGGUCAGACAGCCGGACCCCCGCCUUCUCACCCUUCGUGCGGGUGGAGAAGCGAGACGCCUUCACCACCAUAUGCACUGUUGUCAACUCCCCUGGAGAUGCGCCCAAGCCCCACAGGAAGCCUUCCUCUUCUGCCUCCUCUUCCUCAUCCUCAUCCUCCUUCUCCUUGGAUGCAGCCGGGGCCUCCCUGGCCACGCUCCCUGGAGGCUCCAUCCUGCAGCCACGGCCCUCCCUGCCCCUCUCCUCCACGAUGCACUUGGGGCCUGUGGUUUCCAAGGCCCUGAGUACCUCUUGCCUUGUUUGCUGCCUCUGCCAAAACCCGGCCAACUUCAAGGACCUUGGGGACCUCUGUGGGCCCUACUACCCUGAACACUGCCUCCCCAAAAAGAAGCCAAAACUCAAGGAGAAGGUGCGGCCAGAAGGCACCUGUGAGGAGGCCUCGCUGCCACUUGAGAGAACACUCAAAGGUCCCGAGUGCGCAGCUACCACCGCUGCCGGGAAGCCCCCCAGGCCUGACGGCCCAGCCGACCCGGCCAAGCAGGGCCCACUGCGCACCAGUGCCCGGGGCCUGUCCCGGAGGCUGCAGAGUUGCUACUGCUGUGAUGGCCGGGAGGAUGGGGGCGAGGAGGCAGCCCCAGCUGACAAGGGCCGCAAACACGAGUGCAGCAAGGAGGCCCCGGCAGAGCCCGGCGGGGAGGCGCAGGAGCACUGGGUGCACGAGGCCUGUGCCGUGUGGACCGGCGGCGUCUACCUGGUGGCUGGGAAGCUCUUUGGGCUGCAGGAGGCCAUGAAGGUGGCCGUGGACAUGACGUGUUCCAGCUGCCAAGAAGCCGGGGCCACCAUUGGGUGCUGCCACAAAGGAUGCAUCCACACGUACCACUACCCGUGUGCCAGUGAUGCAGGUUGCAUAUUCAUCGAAGAGAACUUUUCUUUGAAAUGUCCCAAACAUAAGGUAGGGGACCACAGUGUUUUGUAGGGGGAAGGGUGUCAAGCGGGAGACGAGCCCUCCCUCGCACUUCCUUCACAGUCCGCUGCCCCUUGGCUGCGCAGCCCCGCAGGGCCCAGCCCGAGAGGGAGGGAGCUCUCUCCGCCCACCCCCAGGAGCCCCCGCUGCCGUCCAGCUCGGGUCCCCGUCCACUUGCGCGCUGCCGCCGCCGCCGAAAACCCGCCGGCGUCGUGGCAUGGGCAGCCAGGGACUGAAGGGCGACCCUGGGACGGCCUCCCCGCAGCUCCCCAAGAUAGGUGACAGAGUGGGGCCGGCGGGGGCGCGGGACGGUGGCACGGAGAGGCUGCCGUUGUAAUCCACCCCAACGGCCGGAGGAGCCGCCGGAGCCCGCCUACCCGCCCGUCGCCGAAGGAGAGGAGCCGCCUGCGCAGCCCCCGGGCCUUUGAGCUGCUCCCAGUGCGGGUCCAGAGCCGAUCCUUGAUCCGGGUCCCGGAUCGUGGAUCCGGCCGCCUAGGGCUCAGACUUGCGGCCCCGGGUUGGGAGGAAAACCCGUUCCGGAGCCGCCUGCUCCCGGAACCGGACGGCACAGGGCGUUCUUGCCCACCCCAGGGGCUAGGCUUACGGAGGGGGAGCCCGCGGAGCGGCCAGACUCCCCGGGGCGCUCAGCCUCCGGCGAGGGUGUGAGACGGCUUUGGCCUGGGGACGCUUUUCCCCUCUGGAAUCUCAAGACGACGUGGCACACAUUCCACGUGGGUGCUGUCGCCACCCCAGUCGGUCGUGGCGUGCAGCUGGGAGCCCUGGGCUUGGGUGUGGGGGUCGAAACAGUCCUGGAAGAGGCGGAGGGCGGCUCCUGGCUCCGUGGACUAGGCCGGGGAGAAAGGAAGCCUUUCUAAGAGCGGGCUAGGCAGGCGCCUGCUGGAGGGACCUGAGCCUUUGGAACAAACCGUGCGGAACGCUUCCAGGGGCCUUCCCGCCCAGCCUUUGCCGGAUCUGUCGUGCGGUUCGGGCUAAGCCGGGGUAGACCUGGGCUGUGAUCAGUUAGGGGUUGCGGGCUCCCCGAGUGUGGGCGGGACUGGGACACCCUUUGGCCUCUGUUCGUCCCCUUUCCAGUCCACCCCACCCCUGGAGCCCAGCCUGGGAGCGCAAAACCCAAGAAGCGGCCAGAACGCACCUCCGGCGGACGGGCGACCGUUGUGCACCACCAAGGGACCGCCGCGCCCGCUCUGCACGGGAGCAGGGACAGCGCUAGAUUCGUGUACAAAACCUGUGUACCCCUCUAUAUAUAUGUUACAUAGAAUGUAUAUAUGUUGGGAACAUGCUCGCUUCUCCCGUGUGUCGCCGCCAUGCGUCGUGCGCCCGCAGCAGAGCCCCAACCGGGCCUUUGCCGGGUAGGGGGCUACCGCGACGCCCCUUGCCCACGCAGCCACCACCGGCCCGGGCCAGUCCCUGCCAGUCCGUCCGCCUGUCCGUCCGUGUCCUCAGCUCUGUCCACGCUUCGAUAGGCCUGAUGCAGCCCCCAGCCCAGGGCCGCCCUAGCAACUUCCUGUACAUAUGACUGUAAAAUGGUAAACGUGUGUAUUAUAUCUGGCCUCGUUAUAUAGUGUAUAUAUAUGUAUACAUAUACAUAUAUAUAAUAUAUAUGAAGACUGUAAAUGUUAAGACGACUAGUGUUCUUAUUAGUAUAUUGCUUCACACUGAAGAUUGUGUGUAUCGAGCUGUUUCUAAAAGAUGUUUAUUUUCCUUAAGAGUAAAAAACAGUCAUUGCAUUCAGAAAAAAAAAAAAAAAGUCAAUAAAGAUACAACGAUUGUUUUGGAAAAU